rnacentral:rRNA from 1 species
UACGAAGGGGGCUAGCGUUGCUCGGAAUUACUGGGCGUAAAGGGCCAGUAGGCGGCCAACUAAGUCCGACGUGAAAUCCCCAGGCUUAACCUGGGAACUGCGUCGGAUACUGGAUGGCUUGAAUUCGGGAGAGGGAUGCAGAAUUCCAGGUGUAGCGGUGAAAUGCGUAGAUAUCUGGAGGAAUACCGGUGGCGAAGGCGGCAUCCUGGACCGAGAUUGACGCUGAACGGCGAAAGCUAGGGGAGCAAACGGG